rnacentral:tRNA from 1 species
UUAUCGCUCAGUCGGUAGAGGGUUGAACUGCUAAGCCUACUAUGGUUGCGGGUUCAA